CCCCCCUCAGGAUCACACCUGGAGAGUUUCCAAUACUCUACAGGUCUUGGCUUCAGGAGGGAGAGUCAAGCAGAGGUGUACCCAUUCCAAUCCUACCUUGGUCAGUGGCUAGCGAGUGGAAGGCAAUCUGCUACAAGC